AUUGAACGCUGGCGGCAUGCUUUACACAUGCAAGUCGAACGGCAGCACGAAGAAGCUUGCUUCUUUGGUGGCGAGUGGCGAACGGGUGAGUAAGACAUCGGAACGUACCGUUUAGUGGGGGACAACUUUCAGAAAUGGAAGCUAAUACCGCAUACGAACUACGGUUGAAAGCGGGGGAUUCGCAAGAACCUCGCGCUAAACGAGCGGCCGAUACCUGAUUAGCUAGUUGGUGAGGUAAAGGCUCACCAAGGCAACGAUCAGUAGCUGGUCUGAGAGGACGAUCAGCCACACUGGGACUGAGACACGGCCCAGACUCCUACGGGAGGCAGCAGUGGGGAAUUUUGGACAAUGGGGGCAACCCUGAUCCAGCAAUGCCGCGUGAGUGAAGAAGGCCUUCGGGUUGUAAAGCUCUUUUGUCAGGGAAGAAACAGCAGCUCUAACACAGUUUGCGAAUGACGGUACCUGAAGAAUAAGCACCGGCUAACUACGUGCCAGCCGCCGCGGUAA
rnacentral:rRNA from 1 species